rnacentral:rRNA from 1 species
GGUGAACGCUGGCGGCGUGCUUAAGACAUGCAAGUCGAACGGCAGUCUUCGGACUGUAGUGGCGCACGGGUGAGUAACGCGUAACUGACCUACCCCAAAGUCGCGGAUAACGAUUCGAAAGAAUCGCUAAUACGUGAUGUGCUGUCAGAUUGUGUUCUGCCAGUAAAGAUUGAUUGCUUUGGGAUGGGGUUGCGUUCCAUCAGCUAGUUGGUGGGGUAAAGGCCCACCAAGGCGACGACGGAUAGCCGGCCUGAGAGGGUGGCCGGCCACAGGGGCACUGAGACAUGGGUCCCACUCCUACGGGAGGCAGCAGUUAGGAAUCGUCCACAAUGGGCGAAAGCCUGAUGGAGCGACGCCGCGUGAGGGAUGAAGGUCUUCGGAUCGUAAACCUCUGAAUCAGGGACGAAAGACACUUCGGUGGGAUGACGGUACCUGAGUAAUAGCACCGGCUAACUCCGUGCCAGCCGCCGCCGUAAGAC